GACAGAGGGUGCAAACGUUGUUCGGAAUUACUGGGGCGUAAAGCGUGUGUAGGCGGCUAGGUAAGUCGGAUGUGAAAGCCCCGGGCUCAACUCGGGAAGUGCACUCGAUACUGCUUAGCUCGAGUACCGGAGAGGUUGGUGGAAUUCUCGGUGUAGAGGUGAAAUUCGUAGAUAUCGAGAGGAACACCGGUGGCGAAGGCGGCCAACUGGACGAGUACUGACGCUGGAGACACGAAAGCGUGGGAGCAAACAGG
rnacentral:rRNA from 1 species